CCAUAGCAUUGUGGACCCACCUGAUUCCAUGCCGAACYCAGAAGUGAAACACAAUAGCGCCGAUGGUAGUGUGGGGCUUCCCCAUGUGAGAGUAGGACAUCGCCAGGC
rnacentral:rRNA from 1 species